rnacentral:rRNA from 1 species
UGGGGAAUAUUGGACAAUGGGCGAAAGCCUGAUCCAGCAAUGCCGCGUGUGUGAAGAAGGUCUUCGGAUUGUAAAAGCACUUUCGACGGGGACGGAUGAUGACGGUACCCGUAGAAGAAGCCCCGGCUAACUUCGUGCCAG